AAACAUACGAGUAAAGUUCAACACGGUGUCGGCAUCGUCAUCGGCGCCGCUAACGGCGACGUUCCCACUCUCGUCGCCAAUCCUAACGCCGAUACUCAAUGGAUCAACUCCGAUGUCCUCUCAACACUGUCGGGAACGAGCUCCGUCUAAUCACCGUCGGGAACGAGCUCCCUCUAAUCGUGAAAUGCUAACUAAAGUUUUCCAAUUUUCUCAAAAGAAAAAAAUCGAUUGUUACAGAAACGCUGGCGUUUUGCCUCCAAAAUGAUCCGAAACGCUGGCGUUUUGUCUCUUCCAGCCUAAUUUGGCGAAAAGAUAUAUCCCAGUCGCACCCACAGCGCGUUGAGCGCGUUAGGCCAAAAUCGAAAGAGGUGUCCGAUAGAACCCGAUGGCAACGACAGUGAGCUCCGAAAGAAGAAAAUUACUCAGACGACGAAUCUGAGUGAUUGAAGCGACAAGUGAGCAAAGACUUGAUAUGGGUCUUUGAGUUCAGCUAUCCGAUCUCCAUUUCAAAGCAAAUUUGAGAACAAAGAACUUUAGGAGUGUGAUGCGAGCUAAACAAUCUCUGUGUGUAUGUAUUUGGUUGCAAAAAUUCUGUCCUGCAUAUACAAGGAUGUUGUUGCUGCAUUUGAGAAUUGUGAAACGUACAAGUGCAAUGCCCUCUACAGCUCCCACAGUUUCUGUGGACAACACCACUGGCUGUCAGUUAUAUCUAUGCAAAGACUCAUUAGAGACAGCUAUAACAACUAGGCAACCAAAUCGAGUGAGAUCAGUGUAAUGGUGCUUGUGUUUACUCUUGGGAUGAUCGGCGUGGGUUCCUGUGUUUCGCUCGGCAAAAGACGGUCUGUGUCUUUUAAGCACGACGGAGGAGGAGGAGGAUUUUUUGAGGUGAGAGACUAUGGAGUUCCUGAUGGCUGAUACUGUCUGUCAAGUCAAUCUCUUGGUGCGGAGAAACAUUUGCUUAGGCAUUAGAAAAGAGUAUGUGAUACUUAACACUGCAAAAUGGAACACUCUCUGAGGUUUUUACUUCUGGUAGGGUUGCUCCUUUGAUCAAAGAUCAUUUGAUGUAUGUUUCCCGCGUGAUUACGAUGUUCAUUAUCAAUCAAACGCUGUAUCUUUUUCCCAAGCUUGAUUUCAA